GGCUGUACUGAAUCCUAGAUUUCUGCAGGAUGGCACCGUGGAAGGCUGUUUGGAACAGAGGCUUGAAGAAAAUUUGCCUACACGUUGUGGAUUUUGUCAUAUACCAUAUGAUGAACUGAAUAUGCCAUUUCCAGCUCAUCUCACAUAUUGCUAUAACUGCAGGAAACAAAAAGUUCCUGAUGUUCUGUUUACAACUAUAGACCUCCCAACAGAUGCAACAGUUAUUGGAAAAGGUUGUCUUAUUCAAGCAAGGUAUGUUUGUGAAAACAGCAUUUGGUGUCCCUGAAAAAGUAUGAGAUAGGGAGCCAUAAACCUAUUUUCAAGUGUCAGCUUUACUGUUUCCUACCUGUUUGAUCCUGCACAAAUUGGACAAUUCUAUUGGAACUUUGUGUUUUUUUGCAUGUAAAAAAAAACUCUCUGUGUAAAACUCAAAUAAGUUUGUAUACAAAAGCAGUUUUUAACUUUAAAUUCUAUACAAAUAUUUGUCAUUUUGGGAAUUAUUAACCUGCCAAAGGCAAGGGAUGUGACUAAGUAUAGAUUGCUUCAAUGACAUUCAGUAUGUAACACAUUUUAGGAGUUGACUCUUUUUAUCUUUUAAAGAAUAGUGC
rnacentral:sRNA from 1 species